rnacentral:rRNA from 1 species
AUGGAGAAGUCCAAGGUUUCUACGAAGCUUCAUAUACCUCCCAGGGGUUCCAGCCUAUGGACGAGCUGCUCAAUCUUAUCCCGCAGAAGGUUUACAGUUCGUGUGAAUGGGGAAUUGCUACCUUACUUCACCCCUUCUUGGGGUCUGCGUCAAGGGGGUCCUUAUUCGCCUUAUCUUUUCCUCCUAUGUGUCGAGGGUUUUACUACACUCUUAACAAAUUUGGGUGGUGCACAAGCGGACAGAGGGAUUAGAGUGAGCAACAAUUCACCUUGGGUAAAUCACCUCCUUUUUGUUGAUGAUAGUUUGAUAUUCACGAAUGCUAAGGGGUCGAGUGCCCAAAGGCUGAACCAAGUUUUGAGGAUCUACAACGGUAGUUCGGGACAGUGUGUGAACAGAGAGAAAAGCUCCAUCUACUUCAGCCCGAACACACCAAUUCCAGUUAGACAAAAUAUGAAGAAUCUCCUUGGUAUAACAGUUGAAGCUUUCAAUGAGAGGUAUCUCAGGUUACCCACUGCAACUGGGCGGAUCACUAGCGGUACAUUCGAGCAUCUGACGGAGAGACUUCAAAGCAAGCUGCAGGGUGGGAUGGAACGCAUGAUUUCAUGCGCGGGCCGCGAGGUUCACCUAAAGUCCGUGGCGCAGGCCAUCCCUGUGUUCUCUAUGAGUUGUUUUAAAUUAACAAAAAAAGUGUGCAAGGGCUUUAGAUUGUGCAUGGCCCAUCCAAAAGUGAGGGGAGGGAUGGGAUUCAGAGUCCUUCAACUCUUCAACCUUUCCCCCCUUGGAAAACACGACUGGAGACUCGUCACGAGCCCGGAGUUGCUAUGUACAUGGGUGCUCAAAGGGAAGUAUUCCUCGGUGACCAAUUUCCUGAAAGCCACCGCGCCCUCACACGCGUCUUCUACUUGGCGUGAAAUCAUGGCAGGGAGAGAAGCUUUGGAGGUUGGUAUGGUUAAGCGGAUUGGGGAUGGAACGACCGUGUCGAUAUGGAAUGAUCCCUGGAUCCCAGGUCUUAUUUCCAUGAAGCCAUCGGUGCAGAUUGGGGCCACUAAUCUUGCCAUGGUCUCAGACUUGAUUGGUGCAGAUUUAGGGACAUGGAAGAGUAAUGAGGUGUAUGCAAACUUUAUUCUGUCUGAAGCAGAAGCCAUUCUCAAUAUACCCUUGAGGAGGUUUGAAGGAGAUGAUAUGUGGGCACGGUUAGUAGAGAAAGCAUGCGUCUAUACUGUCAAGUCAGCGUACCAAACUCUUAUGAUUCGCAACGAGCAUCGUGCUCUAGAAGAAGGGUCAGUUACCGAAUCCUCAGAGAUAAAUAAACAGUUAUGGACAGGGCUUUGGAAGUUGGAUGCGUUACCAAAGGUUCAUGUGUUCUGGUGGCGAGUGCUACGUGGGAUUCUUCCUGUUGAGGGCACUCUCCAUUACAUGCAUAUUAUGACGAUAGCAAGAUGCAAGGUUUGCCUUGCAGCCGAGGAGGAUAUGUAUCAUGCAUUGACAAAGUGCAACCAUGCACAUAAUUUCUGGAGAGAAGCACGUCAGUGGCUCGACGUCAAGCUCCCGGAGCUACAUACGAUGACAUGGUCUAGAGAUGUUGUCUGCAAUGAUCGUUUUGAUGCGUCAGAUAGGGCAAAGAUUAUCACGGUGAUGUGGGCAAUAUGGACAUCUCGAAAUAACAUCACGCAUGAAAAGGCUAGUAUGGAACCUAUCCAGUCACUAAAGAUGAUCAGAGAUGCGCUAGUAGUGUUGGAGCUUCCGGUCAAGCACGCAAGUGUUCUGCCAUGGCAAGGAUGGAAACCGCCGGAUGGGGAGUGCGUCAAAAUCAACACAGAUGUCGUUAUUGCUAUGUUGGAGCAUAGAUGA